GUGCUGUGUCCACCAUCUGGUGUCUUCCUGCUUUACGUUUCAAGUCUUUGUAUCCAUGGUGGUGGGAUUUAAAAAAAAAAAAAACAAAGACUCACUUAUCUUUUGAUUUACAUACAAUUUUCCACUUUUUGCAUUGGACCUAAGCCAGAAGACAUGAGUUCUCACCCCAGUUUUACCAAAUACUGGCUGUGUAAUCUUAGAAGUUAUUCCAUUUCUCUGGGCCUCAGUUUCCAUUACUCCAAAAUGAGGGUGCUGGACUACAGCAGGGAAGAUUAAUAGGUUUCAUCUUACAGAUCAGCUCUGAUCCGUCGGUAAUGGCCAUCACCAGAGCACAGUGCUGAGAAUUCUGAGAGCACCUCUAGGUUUAUCAGGACAGAGGGGCACGAUCCAUUAGCAGUGUCUGCCAUCAGCACUGGUUGGGGGAAAGCACAUCAACCUUGGAAGGAUAAACUUGAAGAUUCCUUCCAGCCUCCUUGGAUCAUUGAUUCUGUUGUAGUUGUAUGUGCAUUUUAGAUUGUGCAGGUGUUUGAUCUUUUGCUGGACCAGCAUCACAUAAGCCUUGAUAUUAUAAUAGCCUUGUGCAUGUGUGUGGGUUUCUUUCUUUUCUUUUUUUUUUUUUUUGUACUGCAGGAAGAUUGUUGAUCGAAUUGACAAUGAUGGGGAUGGCUUUGUCACUACUGAGGAGCUGAAAACCUGGAUCAAACGGGUGCAGAAAAGAUACAUCUUCGAUAAUGUCGCCAAAGUCUGGAAGGAUUAUGAUAGGGACAAGGAUGAUAAAAUUUCCUGGGAAGAAUACAAACAAGCCACCUAUGGUUACUACCUAGGAAACCCCGCAGAGUUUCAUGAUUCUUCAGAUCAUCACACUUUUAAAAAGAUGCUGCCACGUGAUGAGAGAAGAUUCAAAGCUGCAGACCUCAAUGGUGACCUGACAGCUACUCGGGAGGAGUUCACUGCCUUUCUGCAUCCUGAAGAGUUUGAACAUAUGAAGGAAAUUGUGGUUUUGGAAACCCUGGAGGACAUCGACAAGAACGGGGAUGGGUUUGUGGAUCAGGAUGAGUAUAUUGCGGAUAUGUUUUCCCAUGAGGAGAAUGGCCCUGAGCCAGACUGGGUUUUAUCAGAACGGGAGCAGUUUAAUGAAUUCCGGGAUCUGAACAAGGACGGGAAGUUGGACAAAGAUGAGAUUCGCCACUGGAUCCUCCCUCAAGAUUACGAUCAUGCACAGGCUGAGGCCAGGCAUCUGGUAUAUGAGUCAGACAAAAACAAGGAUGAGAAGCUAACUAAAGAGGAAAUAUUGGAGAACUGGAACAUGUUUGUUGGAAGCCAAGCUACCAAUUAUGGGGAAGAUCUCACAAAAAAUCAUGAUGAGCUUUGAUAGACACUCACCAGAAUAUGGCAGACUGUCAUAGGCAUUCUGUUAUUGUCUUGGAAUGUUGCUACAAUUGUCUAAUUUACAGCAGUUGUGAUCCCACAAAAAGCAAGUUUAUACCUCGGAUUGGGGUAUAAAAAUUGUUUUUUGCUCAGUAUUUACUGGAAAAUGGAUAUCACUAGUCUUUCAGUAAGAUUUCUCUCAAAACAGAUGAAAACCUUGGUAAAUUGCAGUUCUCUCUGGGGAUAUAUUGGUACAACAUGACUUAAAACUUUUUUUUUUUUCUGUUAAAACUUAAAGGGGAACCAAACUUGAAAACGCCCUGUUCUUCAGAAGUUGAGUGGGUUGAGGGAGGCAGUAAAUAUGAAGUGACUGCUAUGUAUUUUAACUACCAGAUUUUUUAUAUUUGCCACUGUUAAAUAGUUGGAAAGGGGAAAUUCUGAUUGAGCAAAAGUGGUAUCAUCCUAGGUAAGCUUAUUUCAGAACAAGUCUAAUAUUUCAGAUUCUUUCUUUUCGACUUUGUACUCUGAGUUGUUACUUACUGUAAGUGGUGUAUAUGAAACCUCCAUGCAUUUUCCAGUAUGGAUCUGCUAAUAUGCACAGUAAAUCCAUGUCUUUGUUUGUUUUUCUAUUAAAAAGCAAUCAAGAAAGAUAAUGUGAAAAAGAAAGGAAUUUAGAGGUAGGGAAAAGAUGAAUGUCAGACAUUUGAAGAACUAUAGUAAAAUGAUAAACACUAAAUAUACUUGAGAAAACUUUCUUAAUAUGCCAUUGAGGUAGGCCUGGUCUUUGAAAUAGUGAAUAGGAAUACAAUGCAUCUCCUCAAUGAUCACUGAUUAGAAUGAGGUGGUGGGAUCCUUGGAAAGCCAAAUGGAGCAGAGUUCUGGAUCAUGUCCUAUCCAGUCCAGUGAAACCACGACCCUCAGACCUGUCCCCCCGGAAUAGCUUAUACCAUGGAAUGAGGACAAGGUGAUACUCUGAGCUGUGGACUGAACUGGCAGACACAACCUGUACAGAUUGAAAUUUCACCUUGUAAGGAGGAAGUGAAUGAAAUAAAGGAUCCCCCUAAGGAUUUU
rnacentral:sRNA from 1 species